UUUUUUUUUUUUUUUUUUUUUUGAGACAGAGUCUCUCUGUCUCCCAGGCUGGAGUGCAGAGGCGCGAUUUUGACUCACUACAGUCUCCGCCUCCUGGGCUCAAGUGAUUCUCCUGCUUCAGCCUCCCAAGCAGCUGGGAUUAGAGGCAGCACCCCCCACGCCCGGCUAAAUUUUUGUGUAUUUUUAAUAGAGACUGAGUUUCACCAGGUUGGCCAAGUUGGUCUCGAACUCCUGAUCUCACAUUAUCCAUCUGCCUCGGCCUCCCGAAGUGCUGGGAUUAUAGGCGUGAGCCAUAUUAUUGAGUGUCAGGCACUGUGCUAGGCAUUGCAGGUCCAAACGUCAUUUUACCCAUGGGCCAGUGUCAAGGUAGGUUCGCUUGUACCAAUCUUGCACAUAAGGAAACAGCCUUAGAGAGGUUAGGUUGCUUGUGCAAACCCAGGGUAGGUGGCACCCAGUCUGCCAGUCUGCAAAGCACUGGUAUCUUCCAGCCCGUAGACCUUGCUCCCUGGGUGCCCAGUACUGGGGCUCAGGGAAGGUGGAUUAAGGCUCCCAGUGGCGGGACCUAGGUGGGGAUUUGCUGCCCUCUGGUGGCAGAAGGGACGUCACUCAGGGUGUGAGACUUCUGGGCAUCUGUAAGGUGGCCUUUCAUUCCAGGCAGCCGGACCUCAAAUCUGACCUCAGCCCUAGGAAGGUGCCACACGAGCAGUUCCCACCAGGGUCUGCUGGGGCCCUGUCCCAUCCAUCUGUGAGUCACAUGAUCACUCAGGCUGUCACAGGCCCAGGGCUAGACUGCUGGGUUUGAGUCUGUGUGGCCCUGAGCAUUGCUUUCUCCUCUGGGCCUCAGUUCCAUUUCAGUAAAAUCAGGAUGAUGGCCUGGGCAACAUAGCAAGACUCCAUCUCUACCAAAUAAAUAAACAAAUAAAUAAAUAAAUAAAAGAUUAGGCUGGGCAAGGUGGUUCACGCCUGUAAUUCACUUUGGGAAGCCGAGGCAGGUGGAUCACCUGAGAUCAGGAGUUCGAGGACAGCCUGGCCAACAUGGCGAAACCCUGUGUCUACUAAAAAUAUAAAAAUUGGUCAGGCAUGGUGACGGGUGCCUGUAAUCCCAGCUACUCGGGAGGCUGAGGCAGGAGAAUCGCUGGAACCUGGGAGGUGGAUGUUGCAGUGAGUCAAAUCGCACCAUUGCACUCCAGCCUGGGUGACAAGAGAGAAACUCCAUCCUAAAAAGAAAAAACAACAGAAAAAUUAGCUCAGUGUGGUGGC
rnacentral:lncRNA from 1 species